UACGAAGGGGGCUAGCGUUGUUCGGAAUUACUGGGCGUAAAGCGCACGUAGGCGGAUUUGUAAGUCAGGGUGAAAUCCCGGGGCUCAACCUCGGAACUGCCUUUGAUACUGCAAGUCUCGAGUCCGAUAGAGGUGAGUGGAAUUCCUAGUGUAGAGGUGAAAUUCGUAGAUAUUAGGAAGAACACCAGUGGCGAAGGCGGCUCACUGGAUCGGUACUGACGCUGAGGUGCGAAAGCGUGGGGAGCAACAGGGAUUAAGAAACCCUGG
rnacentral:rRNA from 1 species